rnacentral:rRNA from 1 species
UUAUGGCGAAGUCAACUGAUGUCACGCUUCCAAGAAAAGCUUCUAGGGCUAAUUUAGUAAGUGCCCGUACCGAUAACCGACACAGGUAGGCGAGGAGAGAAUCCUAAGAUGAGCGAGAGAACUCUUGUUAAGGAACUCGGCAAAAUGACCCCGUAACUUCGGGAGAAGGGGUGCUUGUGAAAGCAAGCCGCAGUGAAUAGGCCCAGGCGACUGUUUAUCAAAAACACAGGUCUCUGCUAAACCGCAAGGUGAUGUAUAGGGGCUGACGCCUGCCCGGUGCUGGAAGGUUAAGAGGAGAGGUUAGCGCAAGCGAAGCUUUGAAUUGAAGCCCCAGUAAACGGCGGCCGUAACAAUAACGGUCCUAAGGUAGCGAAAUUCCUUGUCGGGUAAGUUCCGACCCGCACGAAAGGCGUAACGAUCUGGGCGCUGUCUCAGCAAGAGACUCGGUGAAAUCAUAGUACCUGUGAAGAUGCAGGUUACCCGCGACAGGACGGAAAGACCCCGUGGAGCUCUACUGUAGCUUGAUAUUGAGCACUGGUGACACAUGUACAGGAUAGGUAGGAGACGAAGAAGCCAGGACGCCAGUCUUGGUGGAGUCGCUGUUGGGAUACUACCCUUGUGUUACUGGGGUUCUAACCCGUGGCCAUGAUCUGGUCAGGGAACAGUGUCAGGUGGGCAGUUUGACUGGGGCGGUCGCCUCCCAAAGAGUAACGGAGGCGCCCAAAGGUUCCCUCAGAAUGGUUGGAAAUCAUUCGAAGAGUGUAAAGGCAGAAGGGAGCUUGACUGCGAGACCUACAAGUCGAGCAGGGACGAAAGUCGGGCUUAGUGAUCCGGCGGUACCGAAUGGAAGGGCCGUCGCUCAACGGAUAAAAGCUACCCCGGGGAUAACAGGCUGAUCUCCCCCAAGAGUUCACAUCGACGGGGAGGUUUGGCACCUCGAUGUCGGCUCAUCGCAUCCUGGGGCUGUAGUCGGUCCCAAGGGUUGGGCUGUUCGCCCAUUAAAGCGGUACGCGAGCUGGGUUCAGAACGUCGUGAGACAGUUCGGUCCCUAUCCGUCGUGGGCGUAGGAAAUUUGAGAGGAGCUGUCCUUAGUACGAGAGGACCGGGAUGGACACACCGCUGGUGUACCAGUUGUUCUGCCAGGAGCAUAGCUGGGUAGCUACGUGUGGACGGGAUAAACGCUGAAAGCAUCUAAGCGUGAAGCCCCCCUCAAGAUGAGAUUUCCCAUUCGAAAGAAGUAAGAUCCCUUGAAGACGACAAGGUAGAUAGGUCAGAAGUGGAAGUGUGGUGACACAUGGAGCGGACUGAUACUAAUCGAUCGAGGACUUAACC